rnacentral:rRNA from 1 species
AGCAGCCGCGGUAAUUCCAGCUCCAAUAGCGUAUAUUAAAGUUGUUGCAGUUAAAAAGCUCGUAGUUGAACUUCGGGGUUUACCCAUUGGUCAGGCUUAAUUGUCUGUACUGGUGAGAUGAAUCUCUACCUUCUGAGGAACUUUUAUGCCAUUUAGUUGGUGUGAUAGGAAAUCAGGACUGUUACUUUGAAAAAAUUAGAGUGUUUAAAGCAGGCUAACGUCUGAAUACAUUAGCAUGGAAUAAUGAAAUAGGACGGAUUGGUUCUAUUUCGUUGGUUUCUAGGAUCACCGUAAUGAUUAAUAGGGAUAGUUGGGGGCAUUAGUAUUCAAUUGUCAGAGGUGAAAUUCUUGGAUUUAUUGAAGACUAACUAUUGCGAAAGCAUUUGCCAAGGAUGUUUUCAUUAAUCAAGAACGAAAGUUAGGGGAUCGAAGACGAUCAGAUACCGUCGUAGUCUUAACCAUAAACUAUGCCGACUAGGGAUCGGACGAAGUUAAUUUUAUAAUGACGCGUUCGGCACCU